rnacentral:lncRNA from 1 species
UCAUCUUCAUGCUUUUCUUCUUUUCUUUUCUUUUUCUCAUGAAUUUUUCUCUUUUCACAACAAUUGAGCUCAAUGCCGUUUACUUGCUUUUUCAAUUUUCCCCCGUACAACCCCAAACUUGAACCUUUUCAUCACAUACAAAUAAGCUCAUCCCAACUCAAGGUAAAGAAUUUCAAGACAAGGGUUCACAUCCUAUUUAAGGCUAAGGUUCAAAAAGGGUAAAAUAUUUCAAGCACUUUGGGUGAAAAUUUGGCUAGAGAAGGGUUUUCAAAAAUGGCCUUGAUCAUAUGACAUUCACAUGCAAUUCAAUCGAUCAUCAAGAUUAAGGCAAUAUCAUCCAUGUUUUCCUAUGAACAAUGCAUACAACAAUAAAAACUCUGGAGCUCAAAAUCUCACACACAUGCUUCCUCACACAAAAUUCAUUCAUACACCAUGCCUAGCAUCAUGAGCACAAUCAUAAAUUCAUCACCCAUCUAUUUCGUGGAUAUCAUCAUGCAUUGCAACUCAAUUCUCAUCCGCAUUAAAUAAUCAUCAAAUAGAUCCAUCAUGCAAAUUAGUUUAGCCAAACAUUUUCAGAACAAGUAAUAAAGCCAAGAAUACACACCAAAAAUAAAAAUUCAACCUAUUUUAAGAAUUUAAAAUGCAAAAGUGUAAGAAGAAAUCUAGGUUGCCUCCUAGUAGCGCUUGUUUAACGUCACGAGGCUGACCCAAACCUGGUUGGCACUUGUCAGUAAGUGCACUUCCUUCCACCACUCAUCAGUAGGUGUACCUUCCUGGUAUCCUUCAAUAGAUACCUAUAUCUUCUAACAUCCCCAGUAGAUGCUAUCCCAAUAGCACUCAUCAGUAAAUGCUAAUCUUUCUAAUCUUCAUUGGCAUCCAUCAGUAAAUGCCAUAUCACCUAACAUCCAUCAGUAGAUGUUGUAGAAGCAUCCAUCAGUAGAUGCAAUCAUCACUGCCAUCAAAAGCAACGCAUAACCCAAAAUAAAUAGAAUAAAAUAAAAUAAAAUAAAACCAAAUCAAAUAAAAAAAAUUAAAAAUAAAAUAAAAUAAAAUAAAAUAAAAUAAAAAUAAAAAUAAAAUCAAUAAAAUAAAAUAAAAUAAAAUCAAAAUCAAAUUGAAGACAAAAACUUUCAGAAACUGGGUUGCCUCCCAACAGGCGCUCUUUUAACGUCAUUAGCUUGACCCGGUAAAGCCCAAAAUUUUAUCCUGC